UACGUAGGGGGCAAGCGUUGUCCGGAAUCAUUGGGCGUAAAGAGCGUGUAGGCGGCCCGGUAAGUCCGCUGUGAAAGUCGAGGGCUCAACCCUCGAAUGCCGGCGGAUACUGUCGGGCUAGAGUCCGGAAGAGGCGAGUGGAAUUCCUGGUGUAGCGGUGAAAUGCGCAGAUAUCAGGAGGAACACCUACGGCGAAGGCAGCUCGCUGGGACGGUACUGACGCUGAGGCGCGAAAGCGUGGGUAGCAAACAGG
rnacentral:rRNA from 1 species